rnacentral:rRNA from 1 species
GCUUAGAGAGGGGUCAAUGUCCUAUCAGCUAGUUGGUAGGGUAAUGGCCUACCAAGGCUAAGACGGGUAGCCGGCCUGAGAGGGUGGUCGGCCACACUGGGACUGAGACACUGCCCAGACUCCUACGGGAGGCUGCAGUCGAGAAUCUUUCGCAAUGCCCGAAAGGGUGACGAAGCGACGCCGCGUGUGGGAAGAAGGCCUUCGGGUUGUAAACCACUGUCGGGAGUUAAGAAAUGUAAGGGUAUUAAUAGUAUCCUUGCUUGGCUAAGGCUCCGGAGGAAGCCACGGCUAACUCUGUGCCAGCAGCCGCGGUAAUACAGAGGCGGCAAGCGUUGUUCGGAAUUAUUGGGCGUAAAGAGCACGUAGGCGGCUUUGUAAGUCAGUUGUGAAAGCCUUCCGCUUAACGGAAGAACAGCAUCUGAUACUGCAAGGCUAGAGUGCGGAAGGG